UUGUUAAGGAACUCGGCAAAAUGACUCCGUAACUUCGGGAGAAGGAGUGCUGCGCAAGCAGCCGCAGAGAUAUGGCCCAAGCAACUGUUUAGCAAAAACACAGGUCUAUGCGAAACCGGAAGGUGAGGUAUAUGGGCUGACGCCUGCCCGGUGCUGGAAGGUUAAGGGGAGAGCUUAGCAUAAGCGAAGGUUUGAACUUAAGCCCCAGUAAACGGCGGCCGUAACUAUAACGGUCCUAAGGUAGCGAAAUUCCUUGUCGGGUAAGUUCCGACCCGCACGAAAGGCGUAAUGAUUUGGGCACUGUCUCAACAACACACCCGGUGAAAUUGAAAUACCAGUGAAGAUGCUGGUUACCCGCGCCAGGACGGAAAGACCCCAUGGAGCUUUACUCCAGCCUGAUACUGGGAUUCGGUAUUGCAUGUACAGGAUAGGUGGGAGGCUAAGAACUUAUGGCGCCAGCCGUAAGGGAGCCGAUGUUGGGAUACCACCCCUGCAGUACUGGGUUUCUAACCUGCGCCCGUGACCCGGGCGGGGGACAAUGUCAGGCGGGGUGUUUGACUGGGGCGGUCGCCUCCGAAAGGGUAUCGGAGGCGCUCAAAGGUCUCCUCAGGAUGGUUGGAAACCAUCCAGAGAGUGCAAAGGCAGAAGGAGGCUUGACUGCGACACCGACGGGUGGAGCAGGUACGAAAGUAGGACUUAGUGAUCCGGUGGCAUAAAGUGGGAUUGCCAUCGCUCAACGGAUAAAAGCUACCCUGGGAUAACAGGCUUAUCACUCCCAAGAGUUCACAUCGACGGAGUGGUUUGGCACCUCGAUGUCGGCUCAUCGCAUCCUGGAGCUGGAGCAGGUUCCAAGGGUUGGGCUGUUCGCCCAUUAAAGCGGUACGCGAGCUGGGUUCAGAACGUCGUGAGACAGUUCGGUCCCUAUCCGGCGCGGGCGCAGGAUAUCUGAGAGGAGCUGUCCUUAGUACGAGAGGACCGGGAUGGACCGUCCGCUGGUGGACCGGUUGUCAUGCCAAUGGCACGGCCGGGUAGCCAAGACGGGAAGGGAUAAACGCUGAAGGCAUCUAAGCGUGAAGCCCCCCUCAAGAUGAGAUAUCCAUACUCGAAAGAGUGAGAGACCCCUUAGAGACGAUGAGGUAGAUAGGGCAGAGAUGGAAGCACAGCGAUGUGUGGAGUUGACUGUUACUAAUCGGUCGAAAGCUU
rnacentral:rRNA from 1 species